ACACACACACACACACACACACACACACACACACACACAGGCCGCUGCCACGGGGUGUCUGUUUGUAUCUGUGUGUGAGUGUGU